AGCAGCCGCGGUAAUUCCAGCUCCAAUAGCGUAUAUUAAAGUUGUUGCAGUUAAAAAGCUCGUAGUUGAAUUUCGGGAUCAAUAUGUCGGUCGUGCCUUCGGUACGUACUGGUAUCAUUGGUCUCUCCUUUCUGACGAACCAUGAUGUCAUUAAUUUGGUGUUAUGGGGAGUUAGGACUGUUACUUUGAAAAAUUAGAGUGUUUAAAGCAGGCUUUAGCUUGAAUACAUUAGCAUGGAAUAAUGAAAUAGGACGUUCGAACCUAUUUUGUUGGUUUCUAGGAUCAACGUAAUGAUUAAUAGGGAUAGUUGGGGGCAUUAGUAUUCAAUUGUCAGAGGUGAAAUUCUUGGAUUUAUUGAAGACUAACUACUGCGAAAGCAUUUUGCCAAGGAUGUUUUCAUUAAUCAAGAACGAAAGUUAGGGAAUCGAAGACGAUCAGAUACCGUCGUAGUCUUAACCAUAAACUAUGCCGAACUAGGGAUCGGAUGAUGUUAAUUUUUAAU
rnacentral:rRNA from 1 species